rnacentral:lncRNA from 1 species
AAGUAUGUGAGGGAUGGUGUUUGGUCAGGGACAGGAUGGAGAUUGUGAAGGGAGCACCUGCACAUGAAUGGCGCAUUUGGGACAAUAGCUGGAAAAGAGACAGGGUAGAUAUGCAGUGCUAAGGAGUUUGGCCUUUAUCCUGCGAGUAAUGAGGAACCAAACAGUAGAAGGUUCUUUAUACUUACAUGUGAUUAAUGACAAUGCAAAAGUUGAGCUGGAGAGUUGGAAGCAGAAUAUCAGUAGAAUGCUAGUGUCAUAAAUCAGGUGAAAACUGGUGGGAGCCUACAGAAGUUAACCUAAAGAGGCUGAUAAAAUACCAGUAAUGCGUGGACAGUGGUUUAUUGACGGCACUUGGCAGCCUCUAGAAGAGGAAGAAAGUAAUUUAAUUGAGCAAGAACAUCUCAAUUGUUUUAGGGGCCAGCAGAUGCAGGAAAAUUUCGAUAUUGAAGUGUCAAAAUCCAUAGAUGGAAAAGAUGCUGUUCAUAGUUUCAAGUUGAGUCGAAACCAUGUGGACUGGCACAGUGUGGAUGAAGUAUAUCUUUAUAGUGAUGCAACAACAUCUAAAAUUGCAAGAACAGUUACCCAAAAACUGGGAUUUU